AAAAAAAAAGAAAAUAUUUUCACGUGUUGAUUUAGAUCAACUGUGUGAGUCAUAGAAUAUUCAUAGGGCAUGUUUGGUUCACCUAUUUUAGACUGUGGAAUCGGAAUGAAAUUCAUUGAUUUCGAUAGUUGCCGUUUGUUUUAUAAGAAUCGGACUCCGAUUUUCAUUCUACUCUGAAAUAGAAAUGACCAAAUCUAUUUAUGAUCCAAUCCGGCUUUGAAUUCCGGAUUGACUUAUUCCAAAGUAAACUAUUCAAAAUCCUCUUUCAUCAACACCUACCUCAUCUUCUAUCAUCAUUUUCCUCUCUUUUAAUCAAAACUUUCUCUUAAAAAUUUUAAAUUUUCAUUCCGAUUUCCAUUCCAAUAAUGAACUAAAUAUUUUUGNAUGUUUGGUUCAUGACUAGAAUAGAAAUGAAAAAUAGAAUUUGAUUACUUUCUCUUAAAAAUUUUAAAUUUUCAUUCCGAUUUCCAUUCCAAUAAUGAACUAAAUAUUUUUGAAUGAUUCGUCAUUCUAUUUUUCAUUCCAAAGUAAUCAAAUUCUAUUUUUCAUUUCUAUUCUAGUCAUGAACCAAACAUGCCCAUAAUUUC
rnacentral:lncRNA from 1 species